CGGGCCGGGCCGGGCCGGGCGGGACCACCCGGGUUGCCCGCGGCCCCUUAGAGAAACGCACCCAACUCCCAGCACAGCAGUGAGGUUUCCUCUACAGAGCACACACCCGACAAUGACACCGGUCACGGAGCACCCCCAGAAAUCCCACAUAAUCCUGCAUCAACGGCAGAGAUCCACUGACAGAAUCUCCCACGAAAUGUAUCCCACGGUCGUGGGUACGUCCCGGCGUGGCGAGGGACGUAACAUCAUGGUUAAAAAUGUUAAGUCAUUACAAAUCCAUCUGGACUCCUGUCACCCUGCUCCGGGGGGCAGGCGGCCGCGGCGUCUCCGUACGGUGUAACGUCUGUGUAUAAACUUUCUUUCACAGGGUCCGAUUUUGGUCUUUGCGCUGAGCUUCUCCAUACGUAGCGACGGGCACUGAGACAGCUGAUGGAAGAGUAUUAAUUUGACCAAAAUAACCCAUUGUAAACGCUACCCAAGGACUACGCCUCCUCCAUGAUCUGCGCUUAUUUGGGAGUUUCUGCCCUUGCGUUGAUUUGCCGUUUUAUUGCGCGCACCAAACCCAUCUGCUUCAUUCUCCUCUCCACACCCUCUUGUACGCUGCGUUUCAUACAAAAUGUUUUCCUUUAAAAACAGACCCCCCAAAACCCACCACCACCAAAAUAUUAUAGCACGUAAAGGGAGGGGAAACGUCUAAACGACGUGGAAGGGAAGCGAUUCCCCAAAUACCGAGGGUCGCUUUGUCAACGCCCUCUUAAACAACGUGACAUUGCUGACAAACGUGCAAAAAGCACGAGCUCAGGGACAAACAAAACCGAUGCGUAAUAACUGCACGGCUCCAGGAGUCGGAUUUUUGCCGGGGGUGAUUUCUCAGCUCCGAAGCAAGCCGUUGUUUGGGCCUCAAGAUGGUGAGAACCGGGUGUCUACGUGGACAGGCUGUUACACGGUGGCUGUGUUAGCCCGUAGACGGCUGUUCGGUGCAUUUGUAGCUGUGAGUUCGAACCAUGGAUCUGUUGGAUGAGCUGCUCCUGACGGAGCCCCGAAUAUUUAUGACGUGCAGUCUUCAAUCAGAGAGACUCUGGGAAGCCCUUCGGACAUUACAGGAAUAUGCAAGAGCUCAGGAUACGGAAGAAGUGCACAGGGCAGAGUAGCGAGACGUGGAGAAAGCUGCAAUUGCUGCCCUCUCCUUAUGAAUAUGUCAGCAUUUCAACUCGCAUGGCCCGAUGGGUUCAUAUUGAUUGAUUUGCAGGUGAUUAGCAGUGGCUGCCGAACCUCUGCACGGGGAAGCAAACCUUCAGAGACCUCUGAGAAGCCUGCCUCACCCCUCUGCUGCUGAAUAUACAGUGGAGGGAGCUUAUAUUAUAGGUACAGGAGUGACUUCCUACCACUAGCUGGGAACUGGCUGCCCAUAAUCUCUGAUGAAUUUGGUGCUGGCAAGUCAACAGCUGGGCCCCUCUUGGUGGAGGUCGUUUCCCUGUGGGCUGUCAGCAUCGGUUUCUGAAAUAAUAGCUGUGCUGUGGUGAGACCACUGAUGCCACACACAAUCUCAGUGUAAAACAUCCUUUCUUGCAGCCUUCAUCUUUGCAAACCUGCUAACCCCUGCUAAUGUGGCCUUCUUGCGUAAAUCUGAACUGGGCUCAAAAACAGGCAUACAAUAGGUGUUGAUCAGCAUACGCCUGGAUUUAGAAAAAUAGACUGGGAAGGGAGAAAAGGGCAGCUUGGUUUUACAGCACGGAUAACUUCAGGGAGUGCACUGUACUUUCCCAUGCUGAUUUCAUGAAGGCAGCAUUGCCAGAUGUUGAAAAGCUGCAAAGAAAUCAGGAGAUCGGCUUAGAAAUCAUAAGAUGUAAAGAGGCAAACAGUACAUGUGGGGGACUUUUUCGGUGCCUUCCGGUAGGUCACAUUUUCAAUGUUUUAUCUGUAAUGUUUAAGACUAGAAAUUGCCUCCCUUAAAAAAAUAAAUAAAUAAAAACCAGAACGAAA